rnacentral:rRNA from 1 species
GGGACACGUGGUAUCCUGUCUGAAUAUGGGGGGACCAUCCUCCAAGGCUAAAUACUCCUGACUGACCGAUAGUGAACCAGUACCGUGAGGGAAAGGCGAAAAGAACCCCGGCGAGGGGAGUGAAAAAGAACCUGAAACCGUGUACGUACAAGCAGUGGGAGCACCUUCGGGUGUGACUGCGUACCUUUUGUAUAAUGGGUCAGCGACUUAUAUUCUGUAGCAAGGUUAACCGUAUAGGGGAGCCGCAGGGAAACCGAGUCUUAACUGGGCGUUAAGUUGCAGGGUAUAGACCCGAAACCCGGUGAUCUAGCCAUGGGCAGGUUGAAGGUUGGGUAACACUAACUGGAGGACCGAACCGACUAAUGUUGAAAAAUUAGCGGAUGACUUGUGGCUGGGGGUGAAAGGCCAAUCAAACCGGGAGAUAGCUGGUUCUCCCCGAAAGCUAUUUAGGUAGCGCCUCGUGAAUUCAUCUUCGGGGGUAGAGCACUGUUUCGGCUAGGGGGUCAUCCCGACUUACCAACCCGAUGCAAACUACGAAUACCGAAGAAUGUUAUCACGGGAGACACACGGCGGGUGCUAACGUCCGUCGUGAAGAGGGAAACAACCCAGACCGCCAGCUAAGGUCCCAAAGUCAUGGUUAAGUGGGAAACGAUGUGGGAAGGCACAGACAGCCAGGAUGUUGGCUUAGAAGCAGCCAUCAUUUAAAGAAAGCGUAAUAGCUCACUGGUCGAGUCGGCCUGCGCGGAAGAUGUAACGGGGCUAAACCAUGCACCGAAGCUGCGGCAGCGACACUAUGUGUUGUUGGGUAGGGGAGCGUUCUGUAAGCCUGCGAAGGUGACCUGUGAGGGUUGCUGGAGGUAUCAGAAGUGCGAAUGCUGACAUAAGUAACGAUAAAGCGGGUGAAAAGCCCGCUCGCCGGAAGACCAAGGGUUCCUGUCCAACGUUAAUCGGGGCAGGGUGAGUCGACCCCUAAGGCGAGGCCGAAAGGCGUAGUCGAUGGGAAACAGGUUAAUAUUCCUGUACUUGGUGUUACUGCGAAGGGGGGACGGAGAAGGCUAUGUUAGCCGGGCGACGGUUGUCCCGGUUUAAGCAUGUAGGCUGGUUGUCCAGGCAAAUCCGGAUAAUCAAGGCUGAGGUGUGAUGACGAGGCACUACGGUGCUGAAGUAACAAAUGCCCUGCUUCCAGGAAAAGCCUCUAAGCAUCAGGUAACAUUAAAUCGUACCCCAAACCGACACAGGUGGUCAGGUAGAGAAUACCAAGGCGCUUGAGAGAACUCGGGUGAAGGAACUAGGCAAAAUGGUGCCGUAACUUCGGGAGAAGGCACGCUGGUGUGUAGGUGAAGUCCCUGCGGAUGGAGCUGAGACCAGUCGAAGAUACCAGCUGGCUGCAACUGUUUAUUAAAAACACAGCACUGUGCAAACACGAAAGUGGACGUAUACGGUGUGACGCCUGCCCGGUGCCGGAAGGUUAAUUGAUGGGGUUAUCCGUAAGGAGAAGCUCUUGAUCGAAGCCCCGGUAAACGGCGGCCGUAACUAUAACGGUCCUAAGGUAGCGAAAUUCCUUGUCGGGUAAGUUCCGACCUGCACGAAUGGCGUAAUGAUGGCCAGGCUGUCUCCACCCGAGACUCAGUGAAAUUGAACUCGCUGUGAAGAUGCAGUGUACCCGCGGCAAGACGGAAAGACCCCGUGAACCUUUACUAUAGCUUGACACUGAACAUUGAGCCUUGAUGUGUAGGAUAGGUGGGAGGCUUUGAAGCGUGGACGCCAGUCUGCGUGGAGCCAACCUUGAAAUACCACCCUUUAAUGUUUGAUGUUCUAACGUUGGCCCCUGACCGGGGUUGCGGACAGUGUCUGGUGGGUAGUUUGACUGGGGCGGUCUCCUCCCAAAGCGUAACGGAGGAGCACGAAGGUUAGCUAAUCCUGGUCGGACAUCAGGAGGUUAGUGCAAUGGCAUAAGCUAGCUUGACUGCGAGCGUGACGGCGCGAGCAGGUGCGAAAGCAGGUCAUAGUGAUCCGGUGGUUCUGAAUGGAAGGGCCAUCGCUCAACGGAUAAAAGGUACUCCGGGGAUAACAGGCUGAUACCGCCCAAGAGUUCAUAUCGACGGCGGUGUUUGGCACCUCGAUGUCGGCUCAUCACAUCCUGGGGCUGAAGUAGGUCCCAAGGGUAUGGCUGUUCGCCAUUUAAAGUGGUACGCGAGCUGGGUUUAGAACGUCGUGAGACAGUUCGGUCCCUAUCUGCCGUGGGCGCUGGAGAAUUGAGGGGGGCUGCUCCUAGUACGAGAGGACCGGAGUGGACGCAUCACUGGUGUUCGGGUUGUCAUGCCAAUGGCACUGCCCGGUAGCUAAAUGCGGAAGAGAUAAGUGCUGAAAGCAUCUAAGCACGAAACUUGCCCCGAGAUGAGUUCUCCCUGAGACUU